UUCCAAAGUGUUGAGCUCAGUUCAGGUUAAUUAAACUUUGUUAAUUAAACUUUGGGACAUUAAAACAUGGGCUUAGGAGAGAUGAUUGGAUAGAAAGCAUUGCUCUAUUCAUUUACCUCCCUGCCUACAAAA